GUAGUACAGAGAGAUGAUGAUGAUCCCCCGGGGGAGUGGAGGGAGGUUGCUGAGGAAGAACCAGUGGCCCAGCUCAAGAAGGAGCCCAAGAAGACAGGAAAGGUGAAGAGGAAAAGUAGUGCCAAGAAGUCAGGGGAGCAGGGCACUGAUACGGAUGCAGGUCAUAGAUUUUCCCUCUGUAGUAUGUUGGUUCUCUAAACCUGCAUAUCAUAGAUAAAGGUCAUGUUAGAAACUGUAGUCAGUAAGAAAUGUUGCAUGGAUAGUUUUAUUCAAUAGUCCUAUUGUAGCAAUUUUAUCAAAGUAUUGUAUUAAGAGAAAAGCGUCUGACUUAUCCUGAAUUGUCCUAUAUGGUAAUAACAUAUUUAGGAUUGAGGAAUAAACACCCGGACAGAGGAUCUGUUAUUGAGCUCUUGGAGAAGAAGGCUCUUAAGGCUGCAUUCGGCCCAGGCAACAAAGAUGAGAUGGAGGACUGCUACCCAAUCCUCAUCUCAUUCAUGCGCAAUCUUACUGAUGAGUAUGUUAGGCCCAUGUUUUGCUCUAGCCUCACAUAUUUUGUGCAGAAGGAAAUAAAAAGUAAGUAAAACACAUUUCUUUUUUCUUUUCUAGGCAAUGGCAAGUGAUCUAUAAAGGAUUUAAAAAACCUAUGACAAAGGAACAGCUUGCAAAAUUGUGCAAGACCAUUGUCAACUUCAUUACACAGACCACCCUGCAGAUCCUGCUGCCGGCCCUGGCCCGCAUUCUAGGGGUGACGGGCUUUUAUGACAACGCUGACUCACUCAAGAGGGGCGGCAGUGCAAGAUCCUUCACUGCCUUUGAGCAGAAAAGACUGGAGCUCAUCCAGGAAGUUAAAUAUUUGGCGAAGGAGAUGUGUAACUGUGGCGGCAAGGCUCUCCAACCAAGGUCUAGCACACCCUCUUCCAAGAGUUCCCAGACCUCACUGAAAGCCCACCUGGGAAUGCCAGAGGACAGUAUCAUCAGCAGUGUCCAGGAGCAACUGUCAAAAUCUGACCAAAUGGUGGCUGCAGGACAGCUUUCACAAAUAGAAAAAGUGGUUGGACCUAUGCUGGAGAACAUUGAGAAGAUUAGCAGCGAACGUGGCGAGGAAUUGGUCUAUCAAGAGUCACUACGGUCUUCUUCCUCGUUGUCAUUCUCAACUGCCAAAUCACAGAAGACAGAGUGGGAAUUUGCACUCCCUGGCACUCCCAUUCCUUCUGAGUUACCCGAGAGUACUGCUCAGCCCAUUGUAAGAUGCUCAGUCAUUGACAUGAGCGAAUCUACUAAGCCAAAAACAAUGGUGUGUGAUGCCAGAACAAGCAUGUUUGCCAUAGCCGAUACCAUCAUGAAGAAGGUAUAUCCAGAGGCAGAAGGGCAGGUUACAUCUCACCCUGAUCUAACAGAUGCAAUAGCUAGACUGGAGGAGCUCAUAUAUCAGGGUAGGAUUGGUGCUCUCUCCCGUGAUCUCAGUCACCAAGUGAACCGCAUAAUUUUCGAUAGCAACUUGACCCCUCUGGGACUGACAGUGGUGGCUGGAAAGAGUGCAUCUGAUACCAUCCUUUCGAAGCUGAAGAGGAAUGACAAGGUGUGGAAGCCCACAACUUACGAGCUGGUUCAGCUGUUUGUAGAGGAGUCUGUUAAGUGCCUCCUGCUUCCUAGUUUUGUGCCCUAUUCAACUUCAAUGAGUUUGGCUCAGGGGGCCAAGGUGUUGGCUAGAGUGUCUGAAGAUAGAAUUUCAUGCUCUUCUUCUUCAUCAGUAUUUAGUGACACAGUCAGUCUCUUUACCAAAGUUAUGGUAAGCCAGGUCAUGUACUCUGUGGAUUCUGAUGCAGAAAGUAGAGGAUCCUCUCCAACUGAAUCUCUCCAAACAUCUGAACCCACUAUAUCUGAUGUAGGCAAUCUAUUGAGUGGCAAGUCCUCCCCUGGGCUGUCUCCUUCUGGCGCCAUUAUGGCAACAAGCGAGACCUCCAAUGCAGCACAAAUCUUGAAGGCCAACAUUGAUGGAGAGGAAGUGGAUACCACCAGUCAUUCUGGUGUAGCUCAAAACAUUGUCAGGGACGAUAUGUCAACCAGCCCAGACAUGGUCAAAGAUGUCACACUUCCAACCCCAUCCUCUGAUAACUUGGGCAGUGAUGAUGACUUCACCGGCCUCAUCAGCAUGUUAGUAAUGAGAAUUCUAACAGAAAUCCAAACCCCAGCAGAAGAUUACCCAGUUGACGUCACACGCAAGUCACAAGACCUGAUCCCUAAAGUUAUGGAGGUCUUCUGUGCAUGGUCAGGCUGCUCUGAGACACAAGCCUAUCCAGAGAACUUGAGGAUUCAUAAAGUCUACAGAGUCGUCUAUAAAAAUCUGUUGGAGGAGUUUGGCUCGGAGAAAAUCCUCCAACAGGCCGUGUCGACUCAGGACUCUUCAUUUGAUAGGAUUCUUGUCAAGUCUUUGAGUGAAGCGCUUCUCCACAGAUGUAAUGAGGCAUUGAGGGCAGCCUCAAGAACAUCAGUCAAAACCACCGGGCCUAAGGCUCUUCCACUGGCUGAGGAUGUGAGGGCUAGCAGCGGGAAACUAUCUUUUCUACAAAGGCUGGUCAGGCUGACAAGCAACUUAAAGGUACAGCAAACGUAUUUAAAUGAACAGUUGUGGGAGAUAAUGUGAGUAAACAAUGCUAUUCAGUGUAAAAAAUAUAAAACCAUCCGUUCAUUCCAAAACCAAUCAUAAAUGUUGUUGUGCUGGUGUGGUAGGUGUGAUUGUUAUCAUCAUGAGGUUGUUCAGCUGUGACAUUUUUUAAAACAUGUUUUUCUCUUUAAAUACUUAGCUAUUCAAGAAGGGGAACAAGAAGGAUUCCCACCGCUCUGAAUCAGAACAAGUACAGACCACUGCUGAAGAUGGCAUGCGUAAGUUCACACAACAGGACAACAGUCUGUUUGAGAUAUUGGUGUACAAAUAAAUGCCAUUUCAAAAUAACCUUACAAAGGUUAUAUACGCAAUCAGUAGUCAUCUCUUAUGUAAAAGUAAUUAUAUUCUCCAAAACUCAAGCUGUUGGUUCUCAUUUUAUCAGUGUCAGUUAUGUUGAGUUGUAACAUACAUUACAUCAUUUCUAAAUUAAAGUGCAUGUCAACUCUCUCUCUCUUCUGUAGUGCCCAGCAUAGUGCCACAUGCUGCCAUGUCUGCACUGCCAAAGGAUCUCCCCGCCAGCUCCCAACAGGAGACGCCUCACAAACGUCCACUUCUCGUCAGAAUGUUUUCUGCCAUCUCCAAAGGCCUGUUCAAGCCCUUCAAACAGUCCUUAAAGACCAAGUAACUUCAGACAAUUUAUUAAACGUCAUUCAUUGCAUUAAAUUGGCCUUUGUCUUCUUAUGUGCUCCCGUUAACAGACCAGAUUACAAUACUGGUCUUUUAAAUGUUAGCAGUGAUAGCAACAUUGACUAUAGUGGUGUGUGUAUAGCCCUUCUACACAGUCUGACUCUUCUGACACUGUGUGACAUGCCCUCUGAUCCAUUGAUCUAGGAUAUUCUGAGUGGCCUUAGGCCUGAAUCUCUGCCCUCCGGCCCAAAUAAAUGUUUUCUCUUCUGAUAGAUCUGCCACUGUCAGCAGCCAGCAGGGGAAACCAGACAGCGCUGUUGAGAGCUUUCUUUUCUCCCUCAUGACUAAAACACUGAGAAAGGCUUUUAUCUAUUGCAGCAUAUUCCAUCUUUUGAUUUAACCUAUUAUACGGUAGAAGUACCCAUUAUUUCCCAACGGUUAUAUCACAGGAAAUGUGUUAUAAAAAGUAAACUUACAGUGCAUCCGGAAAGUAUUCAGACCACUUGACUUUUUCCACAUUGUUACAUUACAGCCUUAUUCUAAAAUUGAUACAAUUAUUUUUUCCUCAUUAAGCUACACAAAACACCUCAUGACAAAGCGAAAAGUGUAUAACAUUUUAGCAAAUUUAUUAAGAAUAAAAACAGAAUUACCUUGUUUAAAUAAUUAUUGAGACUCGAAAUUGAGCUCGGGUGCGUCCUGUUUCCAUUGAUCACCCUUGAGAUGUUUCUACAACUUGUUUGGAGUCCUGUGGUAAAUUCAAUUGAUUGGACAUGAUUUGGAAAGAAACACAGACCUGGGGGAAGGGUAUGAGAAACAAUAUUCUCUGAUCUGAUGAUACCGAGAUUGAACUCUUUGGCCUGAAUCAGGAUCCUGGGAAAGAUGAACGGAGCAAAGUACAGAGAUCCUUGAUGAAAACCUGCUCCAGAGGUUCACCUUCCAACAGGACAACAACCCUAAGCACACAGCCAAGACAAUGCAGGAGUGGAUUCGGGACAAGUCUCUGAGCCCGGACCUGAACCCGAUCGAACAUCUCUGGAGAGACCUGAAAAAACAGUGCAGCGACGCUCCCCAUCCAAUCUGACAGAACUUGAGAGGAUCUGCAGAGAAAAAUGGGAGAAACUCCCCAAAUACAGGUGUACCAAGCUUGUAGCGUCAUACCCAAGAAGACUCGAGGCUGUAAUCGCUGCCAAAGGUGCUUCAACAAAGUACUGAGUAAAGGGUCUGAAUAUUUGUAAAUGUGAUAUCAGUAUUUUAUUUUUAGUACAUUGUUUUAUUUAUUUUUUAAUCAAAAACCUGUUUUUGCUUUCUUUUUAUGGGUUAUUAUCUGUAGAGGGGGGGUGGGGAACGAUUGAAUCAACUUUAGAGUAAGGCUGUAACGUAACAAUGUGGAAAAGGUCAAGGGGUCUGAAUACUUUCCGAAUGCACUUUAUGUAAUGAAAAUAUUAGCUGGUUGCCACUAUAGAUAGCUAGGUUAUCCAGUGCAGUGGUAAUACUGCCUGCCUUGGGAGAUAACGUAGGAUGCGUGCUUAUCCGGGUGCCAGAGACACAAUCACAAGCUUUCUUCAGACUACAUAGCUCAAACUUACAACGUAAAGAUAUGAUUAUCACUACAUAGGUUUUUUUUAACAAGAAGGGUGUUUUCUAUAUCUACCAACUAUGAAAUUACAGACAUCAUAAACGGUAAGCAUGAGAAUAAUAUCAUCAAGGCGGACAGGGACAAUGUAUGAAUACACAAAACAUUAUUCAAAUGGACAUUCCCCAAAUGAGCUAUGCACCAGCCCAUAGCCACAGGAUAUCUAUGGAGGAACAUUAAUAUAUUCAUCAAUUUAAAAAAAGGCAUGAAUAUUGUUUUUCUGCUUUUCUGAUCUUAAACCUCCCCCUGGAUGUUGUCCAGGUUUCCUCCAGGGGAGACCUUCUGAAACAGUCGCGAAGGAAACAGCCGACAGUUACAGUACUGUGUUGAAGAUAGAUGAUGACACUCUUAAAAGACAGGUCAUUCCUUUACAUGGAGCAGUUCCUUAAACCAGGUUAGAUUCAACACAGCCACCUCAAACUGGACUCCACCACUCCUUCAUAACGCUGGAUCUGCUAGUCAGUCACUGAGUGCAUUAACACUGAUGAGAUGUCCUGUUUAGCCUAGCUGAAAGGGGAGCUCUAACUAGUCCUGUGGGCACCUAGCUGCUGGGCUUGGACUGGGUCUUGACCCUCAUGGCCCCUCCGCGAGCCUGGCCCUUGGCCGGCUGCUGCUGUACUGGGGACUCUGCUGCAGCGGAAACUGGGGCCUGUUGGGCCGGGCUGUGAGGAGUGGGGGUCUGUAUCUGAAACAAGGCAGCUGCAGUCACCACCUGCUGCUGGAGGAGCCUCUGCUGAACCACCUGGGCUGUGCCUGCUGGAAUCAUCUGGACCUGGGGAUGUAGUCUGGGUCAGGGCAACCGUCAGGGGCUGGAUCUGUUACGAGACAGGAAGAGGG
ensembl:lncRNA